rnacentral:lncRNA from 1 species
UGGUAAAGCCUAAGAACUUUUCUUACAAGAUCACUAUUAGAAUAAUACUUUUCAAGAUUUUUUAGAUCAUUUAUGAUAUUAGUGAAAUGAGUAAACAUUUAUGUUAUACACUCAUCAGGUUUCAUUUUAAAUAAUUCAUAGUUGUGCAUAAGCAUGUUGAUUUUUGACUCUGUUACUUGGUUUGGGCCCUCAUGAGUAACUUCUAAUCUAUUCCAAAUUUUUUUAGUCGAAUUAGAAGUAGAAAUAUGGUUAAAUUCAUUUACAUCUAAGACACAAUAUAAGAUAUUCAUGGCUUUAGCAUUGAGCUAAGCCAUUUUCUUAUCAAAUUCAUCUCAUUCACCUUCCGACUUAAGGAGGGACAAACCAUCAAUCAACUUAGUGGGUGUAUGAAGUAUAUUUACUAUAAUACUCCAUAUAUCAUAGUCAAGUAUUUAGAUAAAUAUUCUCAUCUGAGCUUUUCAAUAGGUGUAGUUGGACACAUUGAAAAGUGGAUGUCAGUUUGUGGAUUGUCCCUCGACUAGAGAUGUGCCAAAUUGGACUGCCAU